rnacentral:rRNA from 1 species
CCUACGGGAGGCAGCAGUGGGGAAUAUUGGACAAUGGGCGAAAGCCUGAUCCAGCAAUGCCGCGUGAGUGAUGAAGGCCUUAGGGUUGUAAAGCUCUUUUACCAGGGAUGAUAAUGACAGUACCUGGAGAAUAAGCUCCGGCUAACUCCGUGCCAGCAGCCGCGGUAAUACGGAGGGAGCUAGCGUUAUUCGGAAUUACUGGGCGUAAAGCGUACGUAGGCGGUUAUUCAAGUCAGAGGUGAAAGCCCGGGGCUCAACCCCGGAACUGCCUUUGAAACUAGAUAACUAGAGUCUUGGAGAGGUUAGUGGAAUUCCGAGUGUAGAGGCGAAAUUCGUAGAUAUUCGGAAGAACACCAGUGGCGAAGGCGACUAACUGGACAAGUACUGACGCUGAGGUACGAAAGCGUGGGGAGCAAACAGGAUUAGAUACCCUGGUAGUCCACGCCGUAAACGAUGAUAACUAGCUGUCCGGGCACUUGGUGCCUGGGUGGCGCAGCUACGACAUUAAGUUAUCCGUCCGUCGGGUAGGUACGGUCGCGAGAAUUAAAACUUAAAACGUAAGUUAGUACGGCGUGAGACGUGCCGAACGGACGACGACGAGGGAGUAGG